UCGGAACGUACCCAAGAGUGGGGGAUAACGUAGCGAAAGUUACGCUAAUACCGCAUACGAUCCAAGGAUGAAAGCAGGGGAUCUUCGGACCUUGUGCUCCUGGAGCGGCCGAUAUCUGAUUAGCUAGUUGGUGAGGUAAAGGCUCACCAAGGCCACGAUCAGUAGCUGGUCUGAGAGGACGACCAGCCACACUGGAACUGAGACACGGUCCAGACUCCUACGGGAGGCAGCAGUGGGGAAUUUUGGACAAUGGGCGAAAGCCUGAUCCAGCAAUGCCGCGUGAGUGAAGAAGGCCUUCGGGUUGUAAAGCUCUUUUGUCAGGGAAGAAACGGUUCGGGCUAAUAUCCUGAGCUAAUGACGGUACCUGAAGAAUAAGCACCGGCUAACUACGUGCCAGCAGCCGCGGUAAUACGUAGGGUGCAAGCGUUAAUCGGAAUUACUGGGCGUAAAGCGUGCGCAGGCGGUUUUGUAAGUCUGACGUGAAAUCCCCGGGCUCAACCUGGGAAUUGCGUUGGAGACUGCAAGGCUAGAAUCUGGCAGAGGGGGGUAGAAUUCCACGUGUAGCAGUGAAAUGCGUAGAGAUGUGGAGGAACACCGAUGGCGAAGGCAGCCCCCUGGGUCAAGAUUGACGCUCAUGCACGAAAGCGUGGGGAGCAAACAGGAUUAGAUACCCUGGUAGUCCACGCCCUAAACGAUGUCUACUAGUUGUCGGGUUUUAAUUAACUUGGUAACGCAGCUAACGCGUGAAGUAGACCGCCUGGGGAGUACGGUCGCAAGAUUAAAACUCAAAGGAAUUGACGGGGACCCGCACAAGCGGUGGAUGAUGUGGAUUAAUUCGAUGCAACGCGAAAAACCUUACCUACCCUUGACAUGUACGG
rnacentral:rRNA from 1 species